rnacentral:rRNA from 1 species
AUUGAACGCUGGCGGCAGGCCUAACACAUGCAAGUCGAGCGGAGAUGAGGUGCUUGCACCUUAUCUUAGCGGCGGACGGGUGAGUAAUGCUUAGGAAUCUGCCUAUUAGUGGGGGACAACAUUCCGAAAGGAAUGCUAAUACCGCAUACGCUCUACGGAGGAAAGCAGGGGACCCGCGAGGGCCUUGUGCUAGGGGGGCGGCCGAUGUCCGAUUAGCUUGUCGGUGGGGUAAUGGCCCACCAAGGCGACGAUCGGUAGCUGGUCUGAGAGGAUGAUCAGCCACACUGGGACUGAGACACGGCCCAGACUCCUACGGGAGGCAGCAGUGGGGAAUUUUGGACAAUGGGGGCAACCCUGAUCCAGCCAUGCCGCGUGCGGGAAGAAGGCCUUCGGGUUGUAAACCGCUUUUAGCCGGGACGAAAGCUCUACGGAUAACACCCGUGGGGGUUGACGGUACCGGCGGAAUAAGCACCGGCUAACUACGUGCCAGCAGCCGCCGCAGUAA